AGGAUUCAGAGCCUCUGACCCGCGACGAGACCCAACGACCCGAGAACAAGACUCGGCCGGAACUCCUCCGUCCGACGACUUCUGGGCGGCGGACCACCGGUAGUCUCCUUGUCUCGUCAUCGCCGACAUGCCUAUGGUAACGGAUCGUCCAUGCACGGGCUGUGGAGAGCAUUUGAAGCUUGAAAGGUUUGAACUUUCUGGCGAUGCUUUUGCAAUUUCCGGCGAUCUUCGGGGCUGUGUGAGUUCGGGUAUCGACGGAAUCGCCAUCCAUGGCGGCGAAUCCAGGCUUCUAGUUUCGUUUCUGGCGUCUUGGAAAACCAGUUGAGGUCCGGGGAAGCUUGGUUCCUUGAAUUGCCGUCCGGUGAUGCUUUGGUCCUUGCUGUACUUCAAACUGAAGGGAGAAAUUCGGUGGGCUCGACCCGACGUUUACUGAGCUCGGUAGCUGCACGUUUAGGCUUGCCCAAGAUGGUCUCUGUUAACGAUUCUUUGAUUCUCAAAGGACUCCAGUUAUCCGAGGAAUGGAAGGUACGUGAAUCUCGGACAAUAUGAGUUAAACGACUUCGGGGCCUUUCUCGGUUAGUCACUUUCUUAUUUUAUAUAAAGUAAUGCAUGAUGCAUGUUAUGGUAUGGUUAUGUUUAAAUGCAAUGCAUACUAACAAUUCCAUGAGAGAUAUCGUUGAUGGCUUGAGAGCGAAAGGGGCACUGACUUCCUUGGGUUCGAUUCCCUAAACCUCCAAAGGGUUAGCUACACCGGUCGGACGGUGCGCUAUCGUAAUGACGACCCGAUUCUGUGUGUGUAGCUAGGUAGCGGACGCUCUCGCUACGCUUACCUGGUUAUGAAUUGAUUUGAGGUAAGGUCGUGUAGUUGGUCUAUGGGACCGGUCAUCAGGUAUUGUUUUGGGCCCGUAUUUACUUGAAGUUCAUGCAUCGGAUUUUAUAUCAGAAAAUCAUUUAAGUUGUAUUUCUUAAAGAAAAUGCAUUUACAUAUGUUUUUAUACUGGCGCCACAAAAGUUUAUUUAAAGGUUUUCAAAUCUAGCCGGGGUGAAGCCCCUGUUGAGCAGCGAGGACGAAAGCUCACCCCUACUACAGUGUGGAUGCAGGUAUUGUGCACUGGUGACAGGAUUGACGGACGGAGCGGGUGUGCGGAGUCAACAUCGGUAAACGGUUGUAAUGGGAACAGGUGUGCAUGAAUCUUAUUGUUCAAUCAAGUGAAAAUCAUCCAUCUCCUCCAAGCACACCAAGUGACGAUCAAGAUCAUAUCAUUCAAGAGGAUAGUAGUGAAGAAGAACCCCAUCCCAUCGGUCCACUUACUCUACUUCAAUACGUUGAUAGAAGAGCAAAUAGAUUGCUAAGACAACUAAGGGAGGAGCGUCCUAAACUAAAGAUGGGUGAUGAACCAAGGCCAUUGAAGGACUACACCAUUCCUACUUUCACAAAUCAUCCAAGUUGCAUUGUCUGGCCACCAUGUGCUCAUGCCUUUUCCAUAAGCCAAGUACCUUGCAACUUCUACCGGCUUUUGAUGGUGGCUUCACCGGUGAUCCAUUUAGGCACAUCAAGCUAUUCAAUGAAGUUUGCUCAACUGUCCAACUCAAUGGUAUUGAUGAAGACAACCUUAGGCUAAGGCUUUUUCCCUUCUCAUUGAAGGAUAAGGCCAAAGAUUAGUUGUACAAGAUUCCGGCGGCAAGUAUCAACUCAUGGGAUGACAUGAAGGCCGAGCUUACA